rnacentral:rRNA from 1 species
GACGAACGCUGGCGGCGUGCUUAACACAUGCAAGUCGAACGGAAAGGCCCUGCCUUUCUUGGGUGCUCGAGUGGCGAACGGGUGAGUAACACGUGAGUAACCUGCCCGUGACCUUGGGAUAACUUCAGGAAACUGGGGCUAAUACCGGAUAGGAGCUCCUGCUGCAUGGUGUGGGUUGGAAAGUUUCGGCGGUUGGGGAAGGACUCGCGUCUUAGCAGUUUGUGGGUGGGGUUGUGGCAUAGCCUGGCGUUGACGGGUAGCCGGCCUGAGAGUGUGACCGGCCACAGUGGGACUGAGAUACGGCCCGUACUCCUACGGGAGGCAGCAGUGGGAAAUAUUCCACGCUGGGCGGAAGCCGUAUGCAGCGUCGCCGCGUGCGGGAUGACGGCCUUCGGGUAGUAACCCGUUUUCGACUGGGACGAAGCGUGAGUGACGGUAAUGUGUAAAGAAGCACCGGCUAACUACGUG